rnacentral:rRNA from 1 species
GCAAGUCGAACGGCGGCACGGGUGCUUGCACCGCCGACGACCGGCGCACGGGUGCGUAACGCGUAUACAAUCUACCUUGUAGAGGGGGAUAGCCCAGAGAAAUUUGGAUUAAUACCCCAUAGUAUUAUGAAAUAGCAUUAUUUUAUAAUUAAACAUUUAUGGCUACAAGAUGAGUAUGCGUUCUAUUAGUUAGUAGGUAAGGUAACGGCUUACCUAGACUUCGAUAGAUAGGGGUCCUGAGAGGGAGAUC